AGCCGGAGCGAGCAGUAGCCGAGCUGUAAUGUCUUACAAUAACAGAAUGCAGGAGAGCACAUAUCAAUGAAGAAAAGACAAAAUGUACUUAUCCAUGAAGCUGAGGUUAAGAAACCAGUGUCUUCAAGAGCCAGGGACAGCACUGGGUCUGUGCAGAGUUGAGAGAUGGUGAUGACAUGUGACAGAGCUCCUUGCUGCUCAAAUUUUAUGCCAGAUAAAAUAUUCACCUUCUCGGACUCCCUGGCACCAGGCAUGGCCAUGUAAUCCUACAGCACAGCUGAUGAAAGAGAAGACAUCUUGCUGCUAUUUGACAAGCAAGAAGAUAAAAGCUUUCCUAUAAAGAUGAUGGAGCAAAAAAAUAGAAGGGGCCUAGACUCCCUACCUUCACACUUCCUGCUAUAAAAGCAUUGCUAUUAUAAGGUUAAUCUGCAGAAACAGACUUCUAUGUCAUAUGCUUAAAUGCAUCAAAAUUCAUACAAUAUCCAUUAAAUUGGUAAAAGUAUCCAUUUUAAAGGAUUAAUCUGAGGGACCCACAGACACUUAACACAAUCAAAUCUCAGAAAAAAAAUCAGUUAUUUCAUUGUGAUUUUGAGGCUGAUCUUUUAUGAUCUUUUAGUUAUCAAACUGUUAAAUACAUUUUAACUUUCAAAUUUUAUGAAUAAAGGAGAUGAAUCCUGUUA
ensembl:lncRNA MAGI2-AS3 MAGI2 antisense RNA 3